rnacentral:rRNA from 1 species
AGCUCGGCGAGAUCGAGGCGCUGCUGCGCGCGACGGACGGCGUGCGCGACGCGGUCGUGAUCGUGCGCGACGAGCGGCUCGUCGGCUACGUCGCGUGCGCGACGCCCGCCGGGUUCGACGCGGCCGCGCAGAUCGAGCGGCUGCGCGCGCGACUGCCCGCCUACAUGGUGCCCGCGCAACUCGUCGCGCUCGAUGCGCUGCCCGUCACGCCGAACGGCAAGUGCGAUCGCCGUGCGCUGCCGGCGCCCGUGUUCGACGCGCGCGUCGUCGACGCGCCGCGAACCGCCACCGAGCGCGCGCUCGCGGCGAUCUGGCAGCGCGUGCUGACGCUGCCGGAGCUCGGCCGCGACGACGAUUUCUUCGCGCUCGGCGGCCAUUCGCUGCUCGCCGCGCAGGCGAACGCGCAGGCGAACCUGCAGUGGUCGCUCACGCUGCCGCUGCGCACGAUCUUCGACGAGCGCACGCUUGCGCGCUGCGCGGCGGCGAUCGACCGCGCGCGCGACGCCGGCCGCGAGCGCGACGCCGCGGGCGCGAUCGACGCGCUGCUCGGCGAGCUCGAAGCCCAGUAAGGCACUCAAUCAGGAACACGCAUGAGGAGCACGCAUGAAGGAGCCCGCAUGACCCCCCCCGAUCUGCUGUCGCUCGCCGCGCGUUUCGCGCGGCUGCCCGACACGCAGCGCAAGCAGUUCCUCGCGAAGCUCGGCGACGCGGGAAUCGAUUUCCGGAUGCUGCCGAUUCCGCCGCGCGAGGACCGCGCGGCGAGCGUGCCGGCAUCGUUCGCGCAGACGCGCCUCUGGCUGCACGCGCGCCUGCUCGGCGAAUCGGCCGCGUACCACAUCACCGAGCGGCUGCGCCUCGACGGCGGGCUCGACGCGAACGCGCUGCGGCUGUCGUGCGACGCGCUGAUCGCGCGCCACGAGGCGCUGCGCACGACGUUCGCCGAGGGCGCGGCCGGCGUGCUGCAGACGGUGCACGCGCCGAUGCGCUGCCCGUGGCGCUUCACCGAUCUCGCGGACGCGAGCGCCGGGUCGCGCGAGCAGCGCGCGGCCGCCAUCGCCGAGCGCGACGAGGCCGAGCCGUUCGAUCUCGCGCACGGCCCGCUCGUGCGCGCGCACCUGAUCCGGCUCGAUGCGGCCACGCACUGGUUCGUGCUGACGACGCACCACAUCGUGUCGGACGGCUGGUCGGCCGACGUGAUGCUCGCGGAGCUGUCGUCGUUCUACCGGUCGUACGCGACGGGCGACGCGGUGUCGCUCGCGCCGCUGCCGGUGCAGUACGCGGACUACGCGCUCUGGCAGCGCCGCUGGCUCGACGCGGGCGAGGGCGAGCGCCAGCUCGCGUACUGGCGCGCGACGCUCGACGCGAGCCGUGACGCGCUGCUGCUGCCGGGCGCCGCGACGCGGCCCGCGCAGCGCGGCGCGAGCGGC